rnacentral:rRNA from 1 species
CAUCGCCUCUUGCAACCAUAAGAGGUCCAGCCUGCCCAGUGAUCUAAUUCAACGGCCGCGGUAUCCUAACCGUGCAAAGGUAGCGUAAUCACUUGUUUUCUAAAUAAAGACUAGUAUGAAAGGCAUCACGAGGACUUAACUGUCUCCUUUCUCCAAUCAGUGAACCUAAUCUUCCCGUGAAAAAGCGGGAAUCCACCUAUAAGACGAGAAGACCCUGUGGAGCUUUAAACAUAAUAACACCUGCCACCAUCUCUAACAACCCCGGUACCUCCUUCAAGCGGCACCCUGAUUAUAUGUUUUUGGUUGGGGCGACCGCGGAGAAAAACUCAUCCUCCGCAAUGAACGGGACUUCUUCCUUAAACAAUAAGUCACAACUUUACGUAUUAAAAAAUUAACAUUC